UACGUAGGCAGCGAGCGUUGUUCGGAGUUACUGGGCGUAAAGAGUGCGUAGGCGGUUUUCUAAGUUUGGUGUGAAAUCUCCCGGCUUAACUGGGAGGGUGCGCCGAAGACUGGAAGGCUUGAGUAUGGGAGAGGUAAGCGGAAUUCCUGGUGUAGCGGUGAAAUGCGUAGAUAUCGGGAGGAACACCAGUGGCGAAGGCGGCGACCUGGGCCAAUAUUGACGCUAAUGUGCGAAAGCGUGGGGAGCAAACAGG
rnacentral:rRNA from 1 species